UCAGAAUCAGUUCCAGGUCUUUUAUAGGUUUACCUUCAGUUCCAGGACUAAAAUAAAUUUAUCUAUAGUUCUAGGACUGGUAUGGGACUAGUGUCAGUUCCAAAUCCGGUAUGGCUUCAAUAUCAGUGUCAGGUCCAGUAUAAGUGCAUGAUAGGUUCCAGGACCUGUAUGGGUUCAUGAUAGGUUCCAGGACCGGUAUGAUUUCAUGAUAGGUUCCAGGGCAGGUAUAGGUUCAUAAUCGAAACCAGGACCAGUAUGGGUUCAUGAUAGGUCCCAAAACCGGCAUGGGCUCAUGAUAGGUUCUAGGGUAGGUAUGCAUUCAUGAUAGGUUCCAGGGUAUGUAUGGGUUCAUGAUAGGUUUCAAGACCGAUAUGAUUUCAUGACAGGUUCUAGGGAAGGUAUGGGUUCAUGAUAGGUUACAGGGCAUGUAUGGGUUCAAGAUAGGUUCCAGGGCAUGUAUGGGUUCAUGAUAGGUUCCAAGACCGGUAUGAUUUCAUGAUAGGUUCCAGGGCAGGUAUGAGUUCAUAAUCGAAUCAAGGAUCAGUAUGGGUUGAUGAUAGGUUCCAGGACCGAUAUAGGUUAAUCAUAGGUUCCAGGUCCUGUAUGGGUACAUGAUAGAUUCUAGGACAUGUAUGGGUUCAUGAUAGAUUCAAGGAUCGGUAUGAGUUCAUGAUAGGUUACAGGGCAUGUAUGGGUUCAUGAUAGGUUCCAGGUCCUGUAUGGGUUUGUGAUAGGUUCGAAGAUCGAUAUAAGUUCAUAAUAGAUUCCAGGACCAGUGUGGGUUCAUGAUAGGUUUCAAGACCGGUAUGAUUUUAUGAUAGGUUCUAGGGAAGGUAUGGGUUCAUGAUAGGUUCCAGGGCAGGUAUAGGUUCAUAAUCGAAACCAGGACCAGUAUGGUCUCAUGAUAGGUACAGUAUCGGACAGAAAGAUAGGGCAUUGGGUUUUUAACGCACCGUGCACCCGUUGGGCCAAGUUUAUGUGUGGUUUGUAUGUGUUUGUGUUUGUGUGUGUGUGUAUGUGUGUGUAUGUGUGUGUGUGUAUGUGUGUGUGUGUAUGUGUGUGUGUGCAUGUGUGUGUGUGUGUGUGUGUGGAUGUAUGUUUGAAUGUGUAUUGAUGUGUGUGUUUGUUUCACAAGUAGGUCGUUUCGGAUAGAUUUGUAAGUAGCUUUUUUGUGUUUUGGGUUAGGUUUUUGGUGUGAUAAGCAGGACCACCGCCCUCGCGAUCAGUGUGUUUUCGAUAUAUUAACAAUGUUACGGUCUUCUUUCGCCGUGGUCUUCUGAGGACGUCCGGUUGACUUGCGCGUUUCGGUUGUCCAAGCGCGUUUCAGUUGUCUAAGCACGUUUCGGUUGUCCGAAGCGCGUUUGCCACAAAAGUGCGCGAUCGUUCCAUUACGAACUCGAUCCUUUUGCGCUUAAUGCCAGCAGCAGCCAUUCGCUUUUACAUAUGGCGCUGAUAAUCGGUACAACGUUUACCUCGACCCAUUGUUACUAACAUUGCUUGCUUGGACCGUCAAGAACGCGCUGGUUAAAAACUUGGACACGGCUGAUCCCGUGCUCUGCCUGCGUUCUACUUCUAUACGCGAUGAAUUACAUCGUUGUCGAGCAGCGAAAACAUCGCAUGGAUAAAAACUAUCAACGAGUACGCGAGUAAGCGUCUUCCCUUCAAAAUCGAGAACAGAAUACUGCCGCGCUCAUGAAACAAAACGCCCAUUGAAAAGAACAACUGCGCGCCAGCUCAAUGCACGCACAAAGUUUACCAUUCGCACACAACGUGCAACGCAGAGAUGCACGAAGGCCUUUCAAUGGCGUGCACUGGAGAAACACCUGUGAGAGAAUGCCGAGUUCAUUGAUAUUGUGCGUGUGUCCAUUUCGCACCGGUGUCGCAUUCACAUUCAUGAAACAGCACACCUGCGUUUUCGUCCGAGGAACAAGGGCUGCUGUCGAUGCAAACUUUAGUUUUUAUCCAAGUGUAAACGCACAAUGUUUCACAUGAUAACACACAUAAUAAGAAUAAUUUCAACGCAAUAUGACAUCAUGGCAAGCUAUGUUUUUCAGACACAAACCCGCGCACUUGCAAAUACACAUUAAAAAGCACACUCACUUUCUACUACUACUACACACA